rnacentral:rRNA from 1 species
GAUGAACGCUAGCGGCAGGCUUAACACAUGCAAGUCGAGGGGCAGCAUGAAGGUUAGCAAUAACUUUUGAUGGCGACCGGCGCAAGGGUGCGUAACGCGUGAGCAACUUGCCCGUUUCUGGGGAAUAACCGGUGGAAACGCCGACUAAUACCCCAUAGCAUCAGUAUGAGGCAUCUCAAUCUGAUUAAAGAAUUUCGGAAACGGAUAGGCUCGCGUGACAUUAGCUAGAUGGCGGGGUAACGGCCCACCAUGGCUACGAUGUCUAGGGGUUCUGAGGGGAAGGUCCCCCACACUGGAACUGAGACACGGUCCAGACUCCUACGGGAGGCAGCAGUGAGGAAUAUUGGUCAAUGGUCUGACGACUGAACCAGCCAUGCCGCGUGAAGGUGACGGCCCUAUGGGUCUUAAACUUCUUUUGUAAGGGAGCAAUAAGGUGCACGUGUGCAUCGAUGAGAGUACCUUACGAAUAAGCAUCGGCUAACUCCGUGCCAGCAGCCGCCGUAAGAC